CCUGAAUACGUGGGGCCAGAAUUUGUUCAAACCUUUCCUGGCAUUAGAUGGCAAAAAUGAUAGUUCUGCUUCAGCUUGUUUUCUGUUCAGCCGUUUUUAGAGGUAAAUCCAUCCUUUCAAAUAAACAAGAGUUGGACAGCCAGACUGCUAAUAAUAUGCAGAAGCGAUAAUUGAUAUCUCUUUUUUUUCUAGGCAUCCAAUCGGAGAUUCAGCUGGUGGAGUCUGGAGGGGAUACAAAAAAGCCUGGAGAGUCCCUCCGCCUUACCUGUCGAGCCUCCGGGUUCACCUUCAGCAGCUAUUACAUGCACUGGGUGAGACAAGCACCAGGAAAAGGCUUGGAGUGGGUGGCACAAAUAUCUGGUGCUUCAGCUGACAUUCGCUACUUGGAGAAAGUGAAGGGGCGCUUCACCAUUUCCAGGGACAAUUCAAACAGCCUGCUCUAUCUGCAAAUGAACAGCCUGGCAGCAGAAGACACAGCCAUGUAUUACUGUGCAAGAGACACA